rnacentral:rRNA from 1 species
AAACUAGGAUUAGAUACCCUAUUAUUUAAAAUAUAAUUAUAAAUACUUAAGUAGUAGUAGUUAUGUUCUUGAAACUUAAAAAAUUUGGCGGUAUUUUAGUCUAUCCAGAGGAACCUGUUUUGUAAUCGAUAAUCCACGAUGGACCUUACUUAAGUUUGUAAUCAGUUUAUAUACCGUCGUUAUCAGAAUAUUUUAUAAGAAUAAAAAUAUUCAAUAAUUUAUAUUAAAAUUUAUAUCAGAUCAAGGUGUAGCUUAUAUUUAAGUAAUAAUGGGUUACAAUAAAAAUAUUUAAACGAAUAAAAUAAUGAAAAAAUUUUUGAAGGUGGAUUUGGCAGUAAAAUUAUAAAGAUUAAUAAUUUGAUUUUAGCUCUAAAAUAUGUCACAUCGCCCGUCGCUCUUAUUAUUAAGGUAAGAUAAGUCGUAACAUAGUA